rnacentral:rRNA from 1 species
CAGUCGCCGCGGUAAUACGAAGGGUGCAAGCGUUACUCGGAAUUACUGGGCGUAAAGCGUGCGUAGGUGGUGGUUUAAGUCCGUUGUGAAAGCCCUGGGCUCAACCUGGGAAUUGCAGUGGAUACUGGGUCACUAGAGUGUGGUAGAGGAUAGUGGAAUUUCCGGUGUAGCGGUGAAAUGCGUAGAGAUCGGAAGGAACAUCUGUGGCGAAGGCGACUAUCUGGGCCAACACUGACACUGAGGCACGAAAGCGUGGGGAGCAAACAGGAUUAGAUACCCCUGUAGUCCCUGUCUCUUAUAC